CCUACGGGGGGCAGCAGUGAGGAAUAUUGGUCAAUGGACGAGAGUCUGAACCAGCCAAGUAGCGUGAAGGAUGACUGCCCUAUGGGUUGUAAACUUCUUUUAUAUGGGAAUAAAAUGUUCCACGUGUGGGAUUUUGUAUGUACCAUAUGAAUAAGGAUCGGCUAACUCCGUGCCAGCAGCCGCGGUAAUACGGAGGAUCCGAGCGUUAUCCGGAUUUAUUGGGUUUAAAGGGAGCGUAGGUGGAUUGUUAAGUCAGUUGUGAAAGUUUGCGGCUCAACCGUAAAAUUGCAGUUGAAACUGGCAGUCUUGAGUACAGUAGAGGUGGGCGGAAUGCGUGGUGGAGCGGUGAAAUGCUUAGAUAUCACGAAGAACUCCGAUUGCGAAGGCAGUUCACUGGACUGCAACUGACACUGAGGCUCGAAAGUGUCGGUAUCAAACAGGAUUAGAUACCCGGGUAGUC
rnacentral:rRNA from 1 species